GAAAUAGUUGAUAAAUGUUUGAAAUAGUUGAUAAAAUGUUCACCAAACACCUGGAAGCUUGUUUUCAACUACAAUGAAAAUACCCUCCCUUCAUCAUCCGUAUCAGGAACCAGGUAGGACUGCAGUGGAUUUGGCCAAGUUUCAUCUUUGAUGACCUCUGCUUACUCCUCUGCACCCGCCACCAGAAGGGUCAGGAAACCAGUGGACUUUGAAGAUGGAUCGCCGCUCUCAUUCAGAUGAAAUUCUUUGGAGAGAACUUUAUUUUCGAAGUAAGGGUUUUCAU